rnacentral:rRNA from 1 species
GACCUCGGAUCAGGUAGGAUUACCCGCUGAACUUAAGCAUAUCAAUAAGCGGAGGAAAAGAAACCAACAGGGAUUACCUUAGUAACGGCGAGUGAAGCGGUAAAAGCUCAGAUUUGAAAUCUAUUUUAUUUUAUAAAAUCGAGUUGUAAUCUGUAGAAGGUUGAAUGGUUGAAUAACUGAUUUAAGUUUCCUGGAAUGGAACAUCAUAGAGGGUGAGAAUCCCGUGAUUAUCAGUAGCUAAACCAAUUAAUUCACCUUUCAACGAGUCGAGUUGUUUGGGAAUGCAGCUCUAAAUGGGUGGUAAAUUUCAUCUAAAGCUAAAUAUCUGCCAGAGACCGAUAGCGAACAAGUAGAGUGAUCGAAAGAUGAAAAGCACUUUGAAAAGAGAGUUAAAUAGUACGUGAAAUUGUUGAAAGGGAAGCGCUUGCAAUUAG